AUUCCCCAUUUCCAUUCUCAAUUUUAUCAGAUUUAUUUUUUGGUAUGCCAGAUGAGCAUUUUGUCUUUUAAAGACUCUUCAAUGGGGCUCUAAUCAUAGCAGUUGAAAGGUUAACAAAUUUUGUUCAUAUUUGAGUUAAUGGAAAACUUUUUUUUAUGAAAUAAUCAACUGUUCUAAUAAUGGAUAGCUUAAUGAUAGCAAUUGGUUCUUUCAUCAGUACAAUAUAUUAAACAAAGUCAAUGAUGAUUUUAUUGUCUACCUAAAAAUAAUGAAAUAAACCUGUUCUCUUUUACACAAUCAAAUAUGUAUUUCCCAUGGGGUAUGGGUUUUGCUCAUUGUUGAAGGUUAUUCUGUGACCUAUAGUGAUAAAUUUUAGAUCAUCUGGUCUCUGGCUGGAGGUUUUCUCAUUGGCAUUCAUACCUCAUCUUAUUUUUAAAUUUACUAUAACACAAUCAAGGUUUUUGUAUCAUGUAUAAUUAUAUACAAUGUAUUUUAAGCAAGUUUAUGAUAUUUAAAAAAAGUUUAAACAUAUUUCAUAUUUCAACCUUUAAUAUAUUCACCAUUUUAAUUUUCAAUUCCUUAUAUUUCCUUGUAUAUUUUUUUUGUUCAUAUUAUAUUUUGUUGUUGAGAAAUCCAAGCUUGUUAGAAGCCUUA
rnacentral:lncRNA from 1 species